rnacentral:rRNA from 1 species
GACGAACGCUGGCGGCGUGCUUAACACAUGCAAGUCGAACGGAAAGGCCCUGCGUUUGCGCGGUGCUCGAGUGGGGAGCGGGUGAGUAACACGUGAGUAACCCCCACUUGACUUUGGGGUAACUUCAGGAAACUGCGGCUAAUACCGGGGAGGAUCUCCUGCUGCGCGGGGGGGGUUGGAAAGAGUCGGCGGUUGGGGAUGGAAUCGCGGGUUAUCAGCUUGUUGGUGGGGUAGUGGAUUACCAAGGCUUUGAGGGGUAGCCGGCCUGAGAGGGUGACCGGCCACCAUGGGACUGAGAUACGGCGCAGACGGCUACGGGAGGCAGUGGUGGAGAGUAUUGCACAACGGGCGGAAGCGAGAGGCAGCAACGCCGCGUGCGGGAUGACGGCCUUCGGGUGGUAAACCGCUGUCGCCUGUGCCGAAGAGGGAGUGACGGUAACGGGUAAAGAAGCACCGGCUAACUACGUG